UCCGCAAGAAAAAAGGAUACUUGGGUGAGAUGGCUCCAUUCUGUGAUGUUAAAAGCUGAUAGCAUUUGGCGAGUCACAACACCGGUGGACUGUUCUUGGGUGUGGAGGAAGGUUCUUAAGUUUAAGACUUCUGAUUUCCUCUUAGAGACUAAAGUACAGGUGAAGAAUGGUUAUGUCAAGAGUACUCACUACUGCUAUGAUAACUAGCAUUCUUUAGGUCCACUACAUCUUAGAUUCUCUGAAAAUUUACUCA
rnacentral:lncRNA from 1 species